GGGGGCAUAGCUCAGUGGUAAGAGCAUCUGCCUUGCAUGCAGAAGGUCCCAGGUUCAACCCCCCAGCAUCUCCA